CACGUAGGGUGCGAGCGUUGUCCGGAAUUAUUGGGCGUAAAGAGCUCGUAGGCGGUGUGUCGCGUCGGCCGUGAAAACCUGCAGCUUAACUGUGGGCGUGCGGUCGAUACGGGCAUCACUGGAGUUCGGCAGGGGAGACUGGAAUUCCUGGUGUAGCGGUGAAAUGCGCAGAUAUCAGGAGGAACACCGGUGGCGAAGGCGGUUCUCUGGGCAUGAUCUGACGCUGAGGAGCGAAAGUGUGGGGAGCGAACAGG
rnacentral:rRNA from 1 species